AAAAUAACGUGCCAUAUCUGUUAACAUUUCAAAAAGAUUCAUAUUUCCAACGAAUCUUCAGAUUUUAGUAUGCACAUUGGCAUACUGUGCCAGAAUGUUACCCUUCAAAUAAAUCAAACUGGCAGUCGUAGAGCGAGCUGUCAAAUGCUUGUUGCUUGUGUCAAAUCUGUGCUACAAAGUAACGAAGAGAAAUCAGGCACCUGGUUGUUUUCCUCUGAAAGUGUCUAUAGCUAGGUAAUACGACAAUAAUUAAGUGGACCAUUGAACAGCACCUUGUCCUCUUUACUUCACGUGAUGAUGAGAUCACCAACAGAAAGUGCUUUUCAGAAAACAUCUCCAACUUCAACCUGCUCUCUGGUCUAAAUGUGCAUGGGAAGCCAACCCUCCCUUCUAGGCCAGGCCUGAGCAGUGACGGGAUACUUCAGCUGCAAAUCUUCAUCCGCUUCCAAUUCAUUUCUGAACGACUCCAGUGGCUAAGGUAUCCCAAGGAGAAAGAUUUACUGGAGGGGAGAACUACCAAAGCACAAAUUGUGAGAAGUUGGCAAAGUCAAUACCAGGCAAGUCUUCAUUAAUAUUCUUUCAAGGAGCUCCAUUGCCUCGACAUACCAUUAAUGAGAGCGUCCUUGUCAGUGGAGGAGUAUAGACACACAGUUGUGUCACAGAGCAAGCCCUCAAACCUUCCAGAGGUCUCCCAUUGGUGCAAACUGAUUGAUGAGUGAUUGCUCGUUGAUCGAUUAGCCUUCCUCCCGGCUGAUGCAGUGAGGCCAGUCUGGUUGCUUCAUAUGAUUUGAGAACUUUUCAACCACUAAUCAGAGACAAAAGUUGUGAACUUUUUUUUAUGUGUGGCCGUUUUUUGAGUUAAGAGUCAACUCAACUGAUACAUUGGACUGGCAGCGUUCGAUUGGAACCUCUUGACAUGGCUCUCAAUAUAUCUUCAAUAAGGGACACAAAAUGGCUGACAUUGGAAGUGUGUCGGCAGUUUCAGAGAGGAACUUGCUCACGGAGUGAUGAGGAAUGCAAAUUUGCACACCCACCAACGAGCUGCCAGGUUGAAAAUGGAAGAGUUAUUGCCUGCUUCGACUCGUUAAAGGGUCGUUGUUCAAGAGAAAACUGUAAGUACCUUCAUCCACCUUCUCAUUUAAAAACCCAGCUAGAGAUUAACGGACGCAACAACCUCAUCCAGCAGAAGACGGCAGCAGCCAUGCUAGCCCAGCAGAUGCACUUCAUGAUCCCAGGCACGAGCAUGCAGCCUGUACCUGCGUUCAAUGUCACCCAGGGGCUUGGUACGAGCCCAGGUCUCAGCUACUCUCCUUACCUUACACCCAUGACCUCCAUGAGCCAUGGGAUGAGCCUGAUACCCACGGAGCUGCUCCCCAGCACCCCAGUCAUGGUCCCUGGAAGCCCCCCGGUCACACUCCAGAGCUCCAACUCGUCCUCCUCUUCCCCCUCACAGAAGCUAUUGCGCGUCGACAAACUGGAGGUGUGUCGUGAGUUCCAGCGGGGGACCUGUGCGCGAGGCGAGACGGACUGCCGCUUUGCCCACCCCAGCGACAGCCCCAUGAUCGACACCAGUGACAACACGGUCACCGUCUGCAUGGACUACAUCAAGUCGCGCUGCUCCAGGGAGAAGUGCAAGUACUUCCACCCCCCUGCACACUUACAGGCCAAAAUCAAAUCCUCUCAACACCAGGUCAACCAUACGGCUGUGGCAGCCCAGGCAGCAGCUGCAGCCAUGACUCAGUCGACUGCCAAAGCAAUGAAGCGACCCCUCGAGGCAACUGUAGACCUGGCGUUCCCUUAUGGCUGCCUGCAGCCCCUACCAAAGAGACAAGCACUGGAGAAGAGCCACGGGGCCAGCUCCUUCUUCAACCCCAGUAUGUUGCACUACCAGCAGGCUCUGGCCAAUGCACAGCUCCAGCAGACAGCUGCGUUCUAUCCCACAGGGUCAGUGUUUUGCAUGUCUCCUGCUACCGGCGUUGCUACCUGUUCAUUGCUUCCAUGGUUCCCUUCCUGAAAAAGUACCCAUGAUGUACAGUGCUACGCCUGCUACUGUCUCUGCAGCAACUACUCCUGCCACAAGUGUUCCCUACGCAGCAACAGCACCAGCCAAUCAGAUCAUCCUCAAGUAACUAACAGGAAAGGAACAGAGUGUCAAGACGCUGCCCUUAGAGGUCCCAAACAGUCCGUCUGUAAAUACUACAUUUGCUCCACAAGAGAACUACAGCAACCUGCAUGCUGAGAAGAAGAUUAGAGGCAAUGUAUAACAUUGAGCUAUGGUAAAAUAUAUAUAUAUAUAUACAGAUGACAUACCAGUGUUGCUAGGACUACUACCAUUACUGAUAUGUAAAUGACUGAUUUUAUUAUAUGUAUACACACAUGAUUGGGGAUUCUGAAAAUGUAAUUGUAAAGGUAUUCAACAAUUACAUUUAUGACCUUUUUAAUGUUUUGCUAAAACUACACAACACUCACCCAAAUCAUUAUUAUUAUUUUUUUCAGAAAUGAUUGUGCAUCUAAGUGUUUGAUUAAUUUUAUUUAAAACACAGAUCAUUGAAAAGCUCUCUUGUUUUUACCCCAUAUACAAAUUUCCACUUGGCCUGUGCAUCAGGCUGGAAGGAAUGCUCUUCUUGUUCUUGUAAAGGAUGAAUGUGACGGAGGAUGCAUAGUCUGUUGUUGUUUAUCUGAUGGUUGUUCUCUGAGUAUAGGAUCACUGCUCCCCCUCCCGGUGUGCCUUGGUCCCUUUAUGAUGAAGGAAUAAGACAUGAUAAUAGCAGAACAUUGAAUUCUUCUUCCUUAUGGUGGCCAAAUGGCAGUGAUUUAAUCAGUCACUAAUUCCAGAAUUGAUAAUGAAUCUAGCGAUCACUGGUUCCAAGUGUCUGUUUGCGCUGCACUGUUUGCGUUAUGUCUAUUGGGCCUUGAGUGUUUUAGCAUUCAUCCAAGAAACACCAUAUACCAGAUGUGCCAAUGACCUAGCAGAGUGAUUGGUGGGCUGAAAAUAAGCCACCUUAGAGGAACAUUGUAAGAGUUUGGUGAGCUAUUACAGACAUUUAAAGGGUUAGGUGGUUAUACUCCCAAGGCCACAGACAUUAAAAGGGGACCAGAAUGAUACAACUUCAAAAGAAAGGUAUAGUACAUGUGAUCUUUGUUAAAAAAGGCUGACUUACACAUGAUGGGAGGUCACUUGUUAAUCCUGUCUUAUUUUAACUGUAGAAGUGCCUAAAGUAAUGUAUAUAACAUGCAUCUUGAAAAGGCUCUAUGUGAAAAAAUAUUCCACAUUAAAUAGAAAACCCUCACAAUUUCUCAAAACACUCCACAGUCUCACAAUAAUCACUUCUGGAAGAAAAUGAACACCUGUUUUGUGUGAUGUGAAUUCAGUGCAUUGAUACUCUUUGUACAGUGGGUUAGUUUUUACUGCUUUAACGUUUCAUUGAUCAUUGACUUUUUUGUUUGUUUUGAGAUGUCAAUAUCUGACAGAUCUGAACAUGACUGCUUUGGCAUGAUGUUCAGUGAGGGUUCAUUAUGUAACAUGGUUUAGCUUCAUUCUUAAUGAGUUGAAAGUGUUUUGCAACUAAAAAAAAGUGAUUGGAGAUGAGAUUAGAAAAACGGAUAUGUAUGGUAAUUCUAUGUUGCUAAUUCAUUCUUCUCUUUAUACAGCUGUCUUUAUCAUAUCCUCACGUUUACUGCAUUGAUAUCAUAGUCUAACAUCUUUCAAGUAGAAUGUAUCACAAUAUAUGUUUUAGUGGUAGGACGUGGUCACAUUACAAAUGUAAGGAAACUCAUAAAUCUACAUAUGUUAUUGUCAAAGCUUCAUUGUAUUUACAAACUGGUCUAUAAAACUAGCACUUACAAACACAAGACAGAUUUAUCCACCAGUCCAAAGUCUAUACCUGUUACUUACAGUAGGGUAUAGAAGACUAAUGAAGCCAGUUAUUUACAGAAGGAUAUAAAAGACAAAAACAAAGUUAAAAAUAUUGAACUAUUUACAAUGUAUCUACACGUACCAUUAUUUUACAUUUUUGCUCAAACUUGUAUGUUUUUAUUUGAUCUUGAAAUAACAGUUAAAAAUUUCACACAGGUGCAAACUCUAAAUGUUACCCAGUCUUUCAUUCUCCCCUUUUCAUUUUGUGUGUGAGUGAAAUCUGUAGAUGUAAAACAAAUAAAAAAUAAAUCUUAACAGUAUCAAGGACAUUUUUUCCAUGAUGUUUGAUCAAUUCAGACAAUCAACAAUGAGACUCCUUUACGCAUGUCCUUACGAUCUUUGUCCUUUUCCAACACUUUUUUUUAUUUAACAUUUUCAGAAAAGUUAAUUUUUAUGUAAUGUUUGAUGGAAAUAAAUGGAAUAUACUUAGUUUUAUUUGUUUAACAUUAGUUAUUGAACAAUGUUGUAUUCUAUUUUAAAAUGAAUGUAAUUUAUUAAGCUGAGCUUUGCUCUGCUGGUGGUUCCUCAAAAGGACCUGUCCUGUCACGUUAGCCUAUGAAAAACCAUCUGUGAUCAGGGAUGGAAUGUUGGAGCUACCAAUGGCAAGCUUCCACAUCUCAUCUUUGUCACUGCCUUGUCACUUAUACAGGACAACACACUGCAGUACGAGCAAGGUUGUAGAAUUGCUUUUAUUAUGUAAAAAACAGUUUAUUGUAUAGGUCACAGUCUACCAAAAAAUAAACAUUUAAGUAAAUGUACUUUUCAUUGUAGUACAGUAUAAUUUCAUAACUAUAUUAAUUUGACUCCUAAAGUUGCAAUUACGGAAGCUCUGUAUUUUUGGAAAUGAUGUAAUUGUUAUGCUUUUCUAGAGCACUGCAACACACUAGAUUGUAUUGCCGGAAUCUGAACAUUUCCUAUUUUAUGGCAAAAACAAUAUUUUCAUUAUCAUGUUGCCUUGGUAUCACAGUACUAUAUUCAUUUUGCAUUUGACAGCCUACCCAUGGCAUUUACAUACCCAUUAAUACAUGUUCUAAUCUUUCUAUUCCACCAGAUAAAAAGCGUCCCUGGACUCAUACAGACAAGGGAAAACUCAAAAAAGCACUUUUGUUAAACAUAUAGUCGUGGGUAUGGCUAAUGUGGCAAUGAUUCUCCUAAAUUAUGUCAAUUGUUGACCGAAGGCGUCUUUCACAAGAAAAAAUGUUUCUAUGAAAAUGUGUGUUUAUUUCAACUUGAUUUUUGCUAAAUGUUUUGAAUGUUAUUAUAGCUAGAUAAAUCUGCACCUGAAAAUCAGUCGAGAUUUUAGACCACUCAAUCAAAAGAUUUGGACAGUCAGAAUGUGUUCACUUUUACUGACCCAAUAGUAACAUGAUUCCUUAGCACUUUGUGAACAGUUGGUAAACUGAUCUGAGCAGACUAGCUUAUUAGUGAUCUUUGCCUUGCCUUUUGAUGUAUUGUUCUUAAGUUGUUCUGUGUUAGGACUCAUGAAAUAUAAGGAUUGUAAUUAGUCUAUUGCAAUUUGUGAAAUAUGCUGUUUUAAUUCUCACUACAGUACAUUUUCAUUUUGAGGUCAAAAUGGUAGAUUGUAAAGAGUGCAGUCAAAUAUUUCACUGAGAAAAGCUUGAUGAUGAGAAAACUGACAGGUGCCAUUCUAAAUGGUGGUGCUACAGUUACUGCAGGGUUAUGUUUAAACUGCUGUGCUGGUUCACAUAUGGUUCCAUCUGUUGUGCCGUACUCUAGAACAGAGGGGACAAACCCUUACUAAUUUUGAAUCUGUUCAUGUGGCAAUUUUAAAUGUUUUAUUUGUGCUCAUUUAUGUUCUAUACAGUAGUUUUGGUAAAUGCAAAAUUGUGUAAAAUCUAAUGUUAAAAAAUAAAUAAAAGUUUAAGUAAA